rnacentral:rRNA from 1 species
UACGUAGGGACCAAGCGUUGUUCGGAUUUACUGGGCGUAAAGGGCUCGUAGGCGGCCAACUAAGUCAGACGUGAAAUCCCUCGGCUUAACCGGGGAACUGCGUCUGAUACUGGAUGGCUUGAGUUUGGGAGAGGGAUGCGGAAUUCCAGGUGUAGCGGUGAAAUGCGUAGAUAUCUGGAGGAACACCGGUGGCGAAGGCGGCAUCCUGGACCAACACUGACGCUGAGGAGCGAAGGCGUGGGGAGCGAACGGG